UGGAUGGACUAAUUUUAUAGGGCAAGUUGACACCACAAUUGGUGGGAAGAGCAGCAAGAGCGGGAAGAUUGAGUCCAGGAAAGCGGGUGGCAGUGAAUUUGAGACACCUACAAGCACCUUGACGAUCAGGGGUAGUUUUAGCUAGGUUAUUUAAAUUUCUAACUCCAUUGCAACAUGGAGCAGGGACAGUUGGAGUUGGGCUCCUAAGGUACCCAAUGCAUGGUGUUAUACUGAGUUGUAUCUGACCACAUGAAAGGGCUGCAUUGGCUAAGGGACUGCUCAAAACGAAGCAUGUCAUAGCCAACAAAAUAACUUUCACAAACAUUGUGUUAGCCAUGAUUGAUUUCCAAAACUUCGCACUUCGAAUAUGUGAAUGACUGUGUUAUGGUGCAUACCUAAGGACUAUUUAUAGAUAACAUUCAACUUGAGUUUCAAUUAGCUUUUUUCCACCUCAAACAUCUACCACGACAAAUGUUUAGAUACCUAUUUUACAUUUUCUAACCAUCUAACUGGCAGGACAAAAUGUAUUGAUUAUCUAAAUAUAAAAAACCAAAAAAUAACCAUUAAAAAUAAAUAGAAAUAAAGAAGUAGAUAUGAAUUAGGCUAUCAUGCGCAUUUAGUGUCAUGCUGGUCCUUUUAUGCUCAUUGCACAUUAAUAAGGAUGGAUUCAGUCAUUUUCAAACAUAUUAUCAAAAAAACUACAUGUGUCGUAAUUAAGUGCUUAACGUGAUUUAUUGACUCUUUGCAUAUACGGAGAUUUUUAUUUACCUCUUGAACCUUUUAUGGUAAAUAAGAAAGAAAAAAUCAAUCAUGCAAUGCUAAAUAAGUUUUGUCCUCAUAGCUAUGAAAGUCAACUUCUACUAGGAGUGUUUAGUAUAUUAUAGACGGUUUAACAUAAUAAUCAUUUCUGAUUCAUUUAUUAUAANUUUAGCUAGGUUAUUUAAAUUUCUAACUCCAUUGCAACAUGGAGCAGGGACAGUUGGAGUUGGGCUCCUAAGGUACCCAAUGCAUGGUGUUAUACUGAGUUGUAUCUGACCACAUGAAAGGGCUGCAUUGGCUAAGGGACUGCUCAAAACGAAGCAUGUCAUAGCCAACAAAAUAACUUUCACAAACAUUGUGUUAGCCAUGAUUGAUUUCCAAAACUUCGCACUUCGAAUAUGUGAAUGACUGUGUUAUGGUGCAUACCUAAGGACUAUUUAUAGAUAACAUUCAACUUGAGUUUCAAUUAGCUUUUUUCCACCUC
rnacentral:lncRNA from 1 species